rnacentral:ncRNA from 11 species
CUGGUGAAUGGCGGCCGUAACUAUAACGGUCCUAAGGUUAAUAGCUAGCCUUAGUAAAACCAAACUAUAUGCGGGAAAACCCUCAAAAGCUUUAAGGUACUCGUUUAGAUAAGUCUAAGCAGUAAAAAUCCUUAAAGAUAUGUGGGCGAUCCGCAGGAAAGACUAAUUGCUUGAAACUCUUAGGUAAAACUUGUCCCUGGUGAGACAAGUUAACUAAGAGCUAAAUUGGAAUCCUCAGAGACCAAACGUUUGGAGUUUGAAAUGCAUUUAGAUGCACAAUGGAUAGUUGGAUUUGUCGAUGGAGAAGGAUGUUUUAAAGUUUCUCUCAAUAAAAUGAAGGAAAUUGAAACUGAAUUCACCGUUGUUCAAAACGAGCAAGAUGUACAAGUACUUUUCGCGUUAAAAAAGCAUUUUGGAUGUGGAGUGGUUCGAAAGAUCCCUUCAAACAGGAUGUGUUAUCGCGUAAAAGAAACUAAACAUCUCUUAACAAAGAUCAUUCCUUUUUUUGAAAAACACUCUCUUAAAACUUUUAAGCGAGUGGAGUUUCAAAAGUUUAGGAAAAUACUCUUGAAAAUCCAAAGAAAUGAGCACAUGAGCGCUGAUGGAAUUGACGAAAUUCAAAACAUCAUCAGACAAGUGGCUUCAAUUCAAACUAAGAUAGAGUCCGACUCUUUUGGAAACAAAAGGGACUAAUCGAGCCAAAUUCCUUGUCGGGUAAGUUCCGACCUGCACGAAU